UGGCUCAGAGGUUAAAGUGUCUGCCUCCAAUGCGGGAGACCCAGGUUCGAUCCCUGG
rnacentral:tRNA from 1 species